rnacentral:tRNA from 1 species
ACCUGACUGGCUCAGUCGGUAGAGCAUGUGACUCCUGAUCCCAGGGUUGUGAGUUCAAGCCCCACAUGAGGCA